AGCGAGGCUAGAGUCACGCCUGUAUACAACCCGUUGUCCUGGUGUGCUAGAGUGCUCGCAGAGGAAAAAUCUUUGUUUAUUCAUUGGCUGUAGCCUGUUGUGGCCCAGUCAAUCACCAGCUCAGAUACAUUA
ensembl:snoRNA